CACAUUGAGUCAGUCAAAUCGUAGCCUAUGAGGUCUAUCCGAGGCGUGAUUAUUGCUAGUUGAAAACUUUACCCAAUACCCCGCCUUGACGACUUGAAAAAUAGUCGGCUAUGGCAAUUUUUGACAGUCUCUGAGGAGA
ensembl:snRNA U4 U4 spliceosomal RNA